UGUACUCAGAGUGCGUAUGCACUCUGUAUGCACUCUGCUGUGUCAGUGUCUGACUUUAAUCUGCUGGGAAAAGUAGGCCUACAGGCAGGAGGUCGUGUCGUGUCAGGACUCGCAGCAGCUGCAACAGGGGCUCCAGGUUACCCUCACUGAGGUACCCACGUCUCUCCAGCUCCAGCAGCAGUUCUAGACCACUCUUGGGCUUGUGGCGGGCAGCAGUAGGGCAGGCCAAGGCAGGACCCUUGGGCUGUAACCGCCGCCAGGCCUCCAGGAGCACUGGGCUGGGGGAGACUCCUUUACUGGCCUCAGGGUCUUCCUCACCGGGCUCGCUGGUCCAGCCAGCUGGGUCCAAGGGGUGCCCUCCAGCCGGAUAGGUCUCAUCCAAGAGGAACGACAGCACCUCAACGUCUGUCUCUGUCAGUUGAGAACCGACAACUUCAAACAUCUCGUGUAGAGAGAGCAUCCCAUAGUACGUCAGGCACUCAGUCUCAUCCCAGUACAGAGAGUCUCGGAGAGAGUACCUUGGACGACGCAUGGUUGCCAUUGUUUACAAACUAGCUGGCUAUCCUUUCCCAAUGCACCUUGGCCAGACGUUUCUAUGUGAUAAGAAUAAAGUUAAUUAGACAAUGUGAGUAGCAAUGAAGUAACGACUCAAAAUGUCAAACUAAACAACAGGAGGACUGGCUAGGUUUAUCAGGUUAUGAAAUAACAAGCCAGAUAGCAGCCACAACGCGAAUGGACAAUACGAUUUUGACAUGGACAGUUACAGGCUUUAACAUGCAAGCAACUAUCUAAUAAUAAGCGAUGUGGAGGUGUGAAACACAAAGCUACUUCGUUUUCGUUGUGGCAACGUUACAGAGCUCGAGAUCUCGCCGAGCCACCAUACCUUGCAAGUACAAACUGUGUUGACAGUGCAACAAAUUACGUUACGUAACAGACGUUCCACUGGAAGAAAAAAAACUGCACUUUAAAUUCAGAUUGACAGUCCUUGAAAACGGUCCAAAAUAGAGAUGGUCCCUCAUACAUAGCUACAUUUGUCUCAAUUUGAUAGCAAGCUAGAUGGAAACAUCAAAAUAAUUAGUUGCAGCUGGAGGAACCAUUUGGGUAGCUAGAUAGCUAACGUUAGCUACGAAAUUAUCGCUAGCUAGCAACAACAACAGCUGACUAUACCAUGAAGAUGAAUCAAGACGUUCAAAUACAUGUAAAGACUAAAGGCGGUAAUUCAUUGUCAAUAUAAUAUUGUUAAUCGUUGCAACAAUCUAAAUAAUGUGUUAUUUUGUGAAACUCGCCUUCGUUGUUCGAAGAUGGUCAAUGUUGUCAAUACAGCGGGGGUGUAUUCAUUAGUCAGAUUCGGUUUUAAAACGUUUUUCCUGUUGCAAAACGGAAACCAUUUACUCGAAGAAGCAAACAGAAAAAAUGGAACAGGAACGAAGCGGGGAGGGACCUGCCUAAAUGUGUCCAAUAGAAACUCGUUUUCGUUGCAAAACGUUUUGCAACUGAAUCCACUAAUGAAUACGCCUCGUCUCGCACGCAGAGUUGGCAGUAGAACAUCAACAGGCAGUAACCAAUCACUGCACUUAAUUUUUUAAGACGUGUUGGCAGUGAUCUACCGCCAUUUGCUAACUACACUGGGUAGUACUGGGUAGUUAGCAAAGAGACGAAGAUGCUGUAGUCAGACCUACUCAUUUUAUUCAUGAAGAAUGUGAAUGAGGCAGUAUUGCUGAUUCAAGACAGUAUGACCUAUCAGAUAAUUUUCCCGGAAUAUCUAAUAAACAUCCUGUUUUCACCUUGUA